GCAAGGGGGAGGAAGGGUAAGCUUGGCAAGGGGGACACCAGGGACCUUGAAUGCUAAGCCGCAGAGUCCCAUUUGGCCUGAUAGGAAACAGUCUGGCCAAGGCCUUAGCCUGGGCAUGCUGCAGAGGCUGGGGCUCUGCAGGACAGGACUCAGGAGUGGGGGAGUUAAAGCAUCAUAAUCCAGGGAGGCUGGCAGUACCAGGGGCAGAAAGAGCACUGAACCACAAGUCAUGAUUGGGCUUCCUGUCUCCUCCUCUGGACUAGCUGGUGACCUUGGGCAAGUCAUUCCACAUUCGCCCCACCUUCCCCAGCUAUCAGGAAGACUGAAUGCAUGAACAAGUCAUGAUCGUGCAGGGAGCUGUACACAUGUGAACCGUUCAUCCUACUGCUCUUCAGGAAGUGCCAAAGAAGUAUUUGCUGAACGACUGUGGAUAUGAGCACGAAUAAUCAAGGCUGUAGACGUUGCCAUGGGAGCAUGAAGAGGUCUUCGCAGACUCUGCCCCAGGAGUUAGAAGUUUCUCAGCAAGGGCCAUUUAAAUGGGGCCUUGAUGGAUGGAUAGAUCAGGUCACCUGAAGAUCAUCGGGGGAAGGAUGCUGCAAGUGCUAGGAAAAAAGUUGAAAGCAUGCUCCGGAUGUAAGGGGAUCGUGCUGGGGAUUAGAUAGGGGCUCUCUUGGGCCGUACUAAAGUGUUUGUUUACACCCAGAUGGGCCCUGCUGGCGGGGAAAUUUAAAGGGAACGUGCUCAGUAAGAAAGCUGCUGGCCGAUCACAACUGAUCGAAACAUCUCCAAAAUAAUGAACGUCUGUGGGAAACAGGGACCCACUGAUUGGUGUGCAAAUCCAACUACUUGGGUUUUCAGGAACAAGUUGAAGAGCAGCAAGGUGGGGCAGUGCCAUGGCCUCAAUGUGGGGGCUUAGCCAGGAAAUGAGAGAGCUGAGUUGCUGCCCUUCCUCUGCGGCCAGGUUCCCCCAAGCUUGCGUCUCUCCCUGUGUGGCUGGGCUUUCAGGAGUAUGUGCACGUCUCACUGAGACUUGGUACACAACAGUGGCAAAGGCCAGAUGGUCCCCUUCAGAGAAAAGUCCGGAGUGAGAAUAAAAACUCGAUAUAGGAUGGGGGUGGGCACUAGACUUGGGAGUCAGGAAGAAGCCUGUGGGGCAGACCCACUGACUUCUUGUGAUCGUUAUCACCUGUUUCUUCUCCCAAGAUGUCACCGGAAGGGCACCAUGUAUCCAAAACCUCAAAACUAAGAAAAUCUUUGCGUUUGCAAGAGAAUGUUAUUUUUCUUCCCUUCUUACCUGGUCUCAUCUCUCGCUUUGCUUUGGCGGCCAGGAAGCCCAGGGUCAAAUGUGAAACUGAAUUCUAACAACUAUAUAGGUCUUUUAUGGCCAGAAUAUUUCUGUUCUUGCUUUAUGAUCCUGAUUUCCUACUCAAUUAUAUUCUUCCUAAUUCUAAUUUGUCAUAUUUUAUUGUUUUACUGUGUAAUGCAAGCCAUCUUAAUUUUUCUUGUGGAAUGAAGUAAGGUACACUUAGGUAAAUGACUGAAAAUGAGGAGACAACGGAUGGCCAAGGACUGACCAGGGCAGACAGUGGUGGGUAUUUGGAGGGAGAAUUACCAGGGUAACAGGGUCAGACCUGCAAUACCGCCUAAUACCAAAGCCCCAUCUCACCCCUAAGACAGUCCAAAGCAAAGGGAGUUGUCCACGAUUUUAUGGCAUAUUAUCGUCAGAGAGGAAAUUGAUACCUACUUUUCCUGGCACUCAGUUCCCUGCUCUUCCCAUGACAACAGGCCUCACCCUGGUUGUAAGGAUGGCAUGGCGAAGGUUAGGAAGGUGGCUCACUGCUGGCUUCCACGGCCAAUGAAAGCCAACGAACAAGUAGAAUGCUCUGUUCCUCCGGCUUCGA